rnacentral:rRNA from 1 species
UACGGAAGGUGCGAGCGUUAAUCGGAAUUACUGGGCGUAAAGCGCGCGUAGGCGGCUUGGUAAGUCGGAUGUGAAAGCCCCGGGCUCAACCUGGGAACGGCAUUCGAUACUGCUGAGCUGGAGUACGAGAGAGGGGGGUGGAAUUCCAGGUGUAGCGGUGAAAUGCGUAGAGAUCUGGAGGAACACCAGUGGCGAAGGCGGCCCCCUGGCUCGAUACUGACGCUGAGGUGCGAAAGCGUGGGGAGCAAACAGG